rnacentral:rRNA from 1 species
AGCAGCCGCGGUAAUUCCAGCUCCAAUAGCGUAUAUUAAAGUUGUUGCAGUUAAAAAGCUCGUAGUUGAAUUUCGGGAUUCGUCGGUUGGUCGGGCUUCACUGUCCGCACUGACCUGACGGAUUCCUACCUUCUGAAUAACCAGCAUGCUAUUAAGUUAGUGCGUUGGGGAAGCAGAGCUAUUACCUUGAAAAAAUUAGAGUGCUUAAAGCAGGCUUGUGCUUGAAUAGAUUAGCAUGGAAUAAUAAAAUAGGACGGCAUGGUUCUAUUUUGUUGGUUUCUAGGAUCACCGUAAUGAUUAAUAGGGAUAGUUGGGGGCAUUAGUAUUCAAUUGUCAGAGGUGAAAUUCUUGGAUUUAUUGAAGACUAACUUCUGCGAAAGCAUUUGCCAAGGAUGUUUUCAUUAAUCAAGAACGAAAGUUAGGGGAUCGAAGACGAUCAGAUACCGUCGUAGUCUUAACCAUAAACUAUGCCGACUAGGGAUCGGGCGAUGUUAAUUUUUUAAUGACUCG